rnacentral:rRNA from 1 species
AUUGAACGCUGGCGGCAGGCCUAACACAUGCAAGUCGAACGGUAACAGGAAACAGCUUGCUGUUUCGCUGACGAGUGGCGGCCGGGUGAGUAAUGUCUGGGAAACUGCCUGAUGGAGGGGGAUAACUACUGGAAACGGUAGCUAAUACCGCAUAACGUCGCAAGACCAAAGAGGGGGACCUUCGGGCCUCUUGCCAUCGGAUGUGCCCAGAUGGGAUUAGCUAGUAGGUGGGGUAACGGCUCACCUAGGCGACGAUCCCUAGCUGGUCUGAGAGGAUGACCAGCCACACUGGAACUGAGACACGGUCCAGACUCCUACGGGAGGCAGCAGUGGGGAAUAUUGCACAAAGGGCGCAAGCCUGAUGCAGCCAUGCCGCGUGUAUGAAGAAGGCCUUCGGGUUGUAAAGUACUUUCAGCGGGGAGGAAGGGAGUAAAGUUAAUACCUUUACUCAUUGACGUUACCCGCAGAAGAAGCACCGGCUAACUCCGUG